UACGGAGGGGGCUAGCGUUGUUCGGAAUUACUGGGCGUAAAGGGCUCGUAGGCGGCCAACUAAGUCAGACGUGAAAUCCCUCGGCUUAACCGGGGAACUGCGUCUGAUACUGGAUGGCUCGAGAUUGGGAGAGGGAUGCGGAAUUCCAGGUGUAGCGGUGAAAUGCGUAGAUAUCUGGAGGAACACCGGUGGCGAAGGCGGCAUCCUGGACCAACACUGACGCUGAGGAGCGAAAGCCAGGGGAGCAAACGGG
rnacentral:rRNA from 1 species